rnacentral:rRNA from 1 species
GACGAACGCUGGCGGCGUGCCUAAUACAUGCAAGUCGAACGCAGUGGGGACGGUUGAGUAACACGUGGCUAACCUCCCAGCAGAGGGGAUAACACUUGGAAACAGGUGCUAAACUGAUAUUGAUUGAUGGACCCGCGGUGCAUUAGCUAGUUGGUGGGGUAACGGCUCACCAAGGCCACGAUGCAUAGCCGACCUGAGAGGAUGAUCAGCCACACUGGGACUGAGACACGGCCCAGACUCCUACGGGAGGCAGCAGUAGGGAAUCUUCGACAAUGGACGAAAGUCUGACCGAGCAACGCCGCGUGAGUGAAGAAGGUUUUCGGAUCGUAAAACUCUGUUGUUAGAGAAGCGGUAUCUAACCAGGAAGCCACGGCUAACUCCGUGCCAGCAGCCGCGGUAAUUC